CACGUAGGGCGCAAGCGUUGUCCGGAAUUAUUGGGCGUAAAGAGCUCGUAGGCGGUCUGUUGCGUCCGCUGUGAAAACUCGGGGCUUAACCCCGAGCCUGCAGUGGAUACGGGCAGACUAGAGGUAGGUAGGGGAGAAUGGAAUUCCCGGUGUAGCGGUGAAAUGCGCAGAUAUCGGGAGGAACACCAGUGGCGAAGGCGAUCAUCUGGGGUUGUUCUGACGCUGAGGAGCGAAAGCUAGGGGAGCAAACGGG
rnacentral:rRNA from 1 species